GCUUACGGCCACACCGCCUGGUUCACGCCGAUCUCCGAAGCUAAGAUAGGUUGGGCCUGGUUAGUACUUGGAUGGGAGACCGCCUGGGAAUACCAGGUGCUGUAAGCU
rnacentral:rRNA from 1 species